AUUGAACGCUGGCGGCAGGCCUAACACAUGCAAGUCGAGCGAGCGGCGGACGGGUGAGUAAUGUCUGGGAAACUGCCUGAUGGAGGGGGAUAACUACUGGAAACGGUAGCUAAUCCCGAAUACCUCCAGAUUGGCCAAAAUGGUAUUAGCCGGUAGGUGGGGUAACGGCGCACCUAGGCGACGAUCCCUAGCUGGUCUGAGAGGAUGACCAGCCACACUGGAACUGAGACACGGUCCAGACUCCUACGGGAGGCAGCAGUGGGGAAUAUUGCACAAUGGGCGCAAGCCUGAUGCAGCCAUGCCGCGUGUGUGAAGAAGGCCUUCGGGUUGUAAAGCACUUUCAGCGGGGAGGCGUUACCCGCAGAAGAAGCACCGGCUAACUCCGUGCCAGCAGCCGCGGUAAUAC
rnacentral:rRNA from 1 species